rnacentral:tRNA from 1 species
GCGAGCGUGGCGGAAUUGGUAUACGCACUAGGCUUAGAACCUAGCGCCGAAAGGAUUGAGGGUUCGACUCCCUCCGCUCGCACUA